GAUGAACGCUGGCGGCGUGCCUAAUACAUGCAAGUCGAGCGAACGGACGAGAAGCUUGCUUCUCUGAUGUUAGCGGCGGACGGGUGAGUAACACGUGGAUAACCUACCUAUAAGACUGGGAUAACUUCGGGAAACCGGAGCUAAGACCGGAUAAUAUUUUGAACCGCAUGGUUCAAAAGUGAAAGACGGUCUUGCUGUCACUUAUAGCUGGAUCCGCGCUGCAUUAGCUAGUUGGUAAGGUAACGGCUUACCAAGGCAACGAUGCAUAGCCGACCUGAAAGGGUGAUCGGCCACCCUGGAACUGAGACACGGUCCAGACUCCUACGGUAGGCAGCAGCAGGGAAUCUUCCGCAAUGGGCGAGUGCCUGACGGAGCAACGCCGCGUGAGUGAUGAUGGUCUUCGGAUCGUAAAACUCUGUUAUUAGGGAAGAACAUAUGUGUAAGUAACUGUGCACAUCUUGACGGUACCUAAUCAGAAAGCCACGGCUAACUACGUG
rnacentral:rRNA from 1 species